AAGAGUAAUUGUGGUUUUUGUUAUUGCUUUCAAUGGCAAAAACCGCAAUUACUUUU
rnacentral:miRNA from 1 species